UACGUAGGUGGCAAGCGUUGUCCGGAGUUAUUGGGCGUAAAGCGCGCGCAGGCGGUGCGGUAAGUCUCUGGUGAAAGCGCUCGGCUUAACUGGGCGAGGGCCGGGGAGACUGCCACGCUGGAGGGGAGCAGAGGCGAGUGGAAUUCCGGGUGUAGCGGUGGAAUGCGUAGAGAUCCGGAAGAACACCGGUGGCGAAGGCGGUUAGCUGGGCAGUUGCUGACACUGAGGCGCGACAGCGUGGGGAGCAAACAGG
rnacentral:rRNA from 1 species